AGUAACACGUGGAUAACCUACCUAUAAGACUGGGAUAACUUCGGGAAACCGGAGCUAAUACUGGAUAAUAUAUUGAACCGCAUGGUUCAAUAGUGAAAGACGGUUUUGCUGUCACUUAUAGAUGGAUCCGCGCUGCAUUAGCUAGUUGGUAAGGUAACGGCUUACCAAGGCAACGAUGCGUAGCCGACCUGAGAGGGUGAUCGGCCACACUGGAACUGAGACACGGUCCAGACUCCUACGGGAGGCAGCAGAG
rnacentral:rRNA from 1 species